GCACCACAAGGGGUGAAGCUUGCGGUUUAAUUGGAGUCAACGCCGGAAAUCUCACCGGGAGCGACAGCAGAGUGAAGGCCAGAUUAAAGGUCUUGCCAGACAAGCUGAGAGGAGGUGCAUGGCCGUCGCCAGUUCGUGCCGUGAGGUGUCCUGUUAAGUCAGGCAACGAUCGAGACCCGCAUCCACUGUUGCUACUAGCUUUGUGCUGGGCACACUGUGGAGACCGCCACUGAUAAAGUGGAGGAAGGAGCGGGCCACGGCAGGUCAGUAUGCCCCGAAUCUCCCGGGCCACACGCGAGCUGCAAUGGCAGGUACAAUGAGUUCCGACCUCGAAAGGGGAAGGCAAUCUCGAAAGCCUGCCGUAGUUGGGAUCGAGGGUUGUAACCCAUCCUCGUGAACAUGGAAUCCCUAGUAAUCGCGUGUCAUUAGCGCGCGGUGAAUACGUCCCUGCUCCUUGCACACACCGCCCGUCGUUCCACCCGAGUUUGGCCCUGGUGAGGCGUGGCCUCAUUGGUCAUGUCGAGCCUAGGUUAGGCAAGGAGGGAG
rnacentral:rRNA from 1 species